rnacentral:lncRNA from 13 species
AUGCUGGUCCCAACAAUGUUUAAUGAGGUGGGGACCUGGUAUUGUCAGCGCUCCUCCAUUCGAGGCCUCAUUUCAUUUCUCCCAGUGUUGUUUUCCUCUCCUCUUCCUGCUCCCUGUACCCUGGCUGUGUCUCACUUCGCAGUCAUGAAAACUCAGGAGGUGGCCACAUGGUUUGUGAUGGAAGAAAGGUAUCUGAAUUACUUGUCCUUUCUGCCCUCCAGGUUCCUCUGUCUUUCUGAGCAUAGCCAAUUUAGAAUACGCUGUGUCUCCAUUCUGGUUCCUCCUCCCCAGGCAUUCAGUCUUCAGUCUUCAAUGACUAAGCCUCACUUAAUGUAACCAGCAGCCCCCACUCAAGUCCUCUGGCCAUUAACAGGGAUUAUAGUCACAGAUGAAAGUGAUAGCAUUUUAUCCCUGAUUGUGUGAAGGAGGUUUUCAUGUAGGUCAUGAGCCUUCCCAAUACUAGACUGAGUCAUUAGGAAGGUGGCAGCUUUAUUAGUUCAUGGUUAAAGGUGCUCUUGUGUUUUUCUUGAUAUCUGAUCUUUAGUCAUGUGUGCCAGAGAUGGCUCCCAAAAGCCAAUGGUAGCAUCUCUUCCCAACUCUGAGCUCAGUGACAUCAUGUUGGUGGCUUAAAACCAGCCACAGUGGUACUUGCACCAUGGUAAUCAGCACAUAUUACAAAUUAGACCGGCCGCAACCCCAAAGGUGGUUGUUCACCAUUCCCCAGCACACUGCUGCCCAGACACUCACAUGGCUAAUCUUCGCUUUUACUGUCUCUGUCCUUCUGCCACUCUUGCAGUGGCAUUUAUGAGUACCUGUCACCUACAAGACCAGUCACCUAAAUUGAGGGUGUUGGGACAGUUUUGUUUUUCUGAUGAGUCCAACUCACCUGGUCCACACUAAUAUAGUUUAGAAUAGAGGCUGCAACCCAGUUGUCCUUGUAUUAAAUUCAGCCUGAAAACUUAUUUUAUUUGCCCCCCAUAACAUAUGCUUAAAAAGUGAAUUUGCUGCCCCAAUUUAAAAUCUGGUAGAUGUCACAUGGAAAACCUGUGUUUCUUCUCUUAAAAGAGAAAUUUGGAGAUCUCGAAAGAGAAUUAGAAGAUCUGGCAACAACGAGCAGCCAUCCUUGUACUGCAACAGUUGGUGUGCAUUUUAAUUUUCAUCCCAGUCUCACUCGGGCAGCUGUAUUCACUUAUGCUACCUGCCUUACCUCUGCAGGUGUUUGAGUUUGGUUUAGAGUAACACGUCCCACAUGCUGUUCUUCCCACCUUCCACUAGAAGGAACUUAAUAAGACAGGAUGUGGUCCGGGUGUGCAUAGAAUGGCAGUAUUACAUUCCACUGGGGAAGUCAAGCAUGGCCAUACUGAUAAAUAGCUCUGCAGCUCGGGAGUGGGACCUCCAGUUAGGGGUAAGAUUUCCAUUGUCUAAGAUACGUAAGGAGGGAUGACAUUUCAGGUGUUAGCAGUAGCAGGAACAAAAACAGGGAAUCUCCAUGUGCUUUGGGAAUGCCAUGUGCUUUGAGAAUGCCAAAACCUAGGAUUUUUGCUGGGCAAGUGGGCAAUAAAAGGAAGAAAAUUUAGGUUGAGGCCA